GAAGCACGGACCAAGGAGUCUAACACGUGCGCGAGUCGCAGGGUAGUACGAAACCCGAAGGCGCAACGAAAGUGAACCGUUUCUUCGAAUCGGUAGGUGGGAUCCCGGACUCCUUUGCGGGACGAAGGGCGCACCACCGGCCUGUCUCGGCCGCGACGUCGGCGAGGCGGAGCAAGAGCGUACGCGUUGGGACCCGAAAGAUGGUGAACUAUGCCUGAGCAGGACGAAGCCAGAAGAAAUUCUGGUGGAGGUCCGCAGCGAUUCUGACGUGCAAAUCGAUCGUCAAACU
rnacentral:rRNA from 1 species